ensembl:lncRNA
GGCUGCCCAGCAACCUGCCGGCUUGACCCCAUCCCCUCCUUCCUUCCCCAGACCAACUCUGGAGACCUUCUCCCAUUCCUGACUUCCCUCAUCCUUGACCCUAACCAGUCAGGCUUCAAGAUGGGUCACUCAACCGAGACUGCUCUUUUGUGUCACGGUGGCUCGCCGCACUGCCAAAGCUGACUCUCUCCUCUGUUCUCAUCCUCCUAGAUCUAUCCACUACUUUCAACACCAUGAACCAUAAGAUCCUCCUCUCCACCCUGUCAGGGCUGGGCGUCUCAGUUAUCUUAACUUGGAUCUCGGCCCACCACCUCAAGCUCAAUCGCGACAAGAUGGAACUGCUUUUCCUCCCGGGGCAGGCCUGCCCGCUCAAAGACCUCUCCAUCACCGUUGACAACUCGUGUCGCCCUCCCAGUGCAAAGAACCUAGGUGUGACCCUGGACAACACCCUGUCAUUCUCUGCAAACAUCAAAGCAGUGACACGCUCCUGCAGGUUCAUGCUCUACAACAUCCGAGUACAACCCUACCUCACAUAGGAAGAGGCGCAUGUCCUAAUCCAGACACUUGUACUCUCCCGUCUGGACUACUGCAACUUGCUGUUGGCUGGGCUCCCUGAUUAUGCCCUCAAACCCCUGAAAUUUAUCAAGAACUCUGCAGCCUGCCUAGUUUUCAACCUUACUAAGUUCUCAUGUCACCCCGCUCUUCCGCACACUCCACUGGCUUCCAGUCGAAGCUCGCAUCCACUACAACACCAUGGCACUUAUCUACAGAACAGAUGGAACUGUACUUCCCUACCUCCAAACUAUGCUCAAACCCUUCACCCCAACCCGAGCACUCCGUUAUGCCCAGUCCAAGCUCUUCUCUGUCCUGACACCCCAAUGGUAAAAUGACUCAAGUAAAAUUCACCCAGUAAAAUACUACUUGAGUAAAAGUAUUUGGUUUUAAAUAUACUUAUCAAAAGUAAAUGUAAUUGCUAAAAUAUACUUAAGUAUCAAAAGUAAAAUAAUCAUUUCAAAUCCCUUAUAUUAAACAAACCAGAUGGCACCAUUUUAUUUUUUAAUUUUUAAUUUAUGAAUAGCCAGGGGAACACUCAGACAUCAUUUACAACUCUUUGGCCUGAAUGCCAAGCAUCACAUCUGGAAGAAACCUGGCACCAUCCCUACAGGGAAGCAUGGUGGUGGCAGCAUCAUGAUGUGAGGACAAUGACACUAAGCAUACAAGUCUCAAGCAUACAAGGGACAAGUCUCUGAAUGUCCUUGAGUGGCCCAACUUUUUCAAA